GACGAACCGUGCAAACGUUAUUCGGAAUCACUGGGCAUAAAGGGCGCGUAGGCGGCUCUAAAAGUCAGGGGUGAAAUCCGGCAGCUUAACUGUCGCAGUGCCUUUGAUACUGUAGAGCUCGAGGGAGGUAGGGGUCUGUGGAACUUCCGGUGGAGCGGUGAAAUGCGUUGAUAUCGGAAGGAACGCCGGUGGCGAAAGCAACGGACUGGAUCUCUUCUGACGCUGAGGCGCGAAAGCCAGGGGAGCAAACGGG
rnacentral:rRNA from 1 species